rnacentral:rRNA from 1 species
AGAACGAACGCUGGCGGCAUGCUUAACACAUGCAAGUCGAGCGGUAAGGCCCUUUCGGGGGUACACGAGCGGCGAACGGGUGAGUAACACGUGAGCAAUCUGCCCUUCGCUUCGGGAUAAGCCUCGGAAACGGGGUCUAAUACCGGAUAUGACUGCGCCAUGCAUGUGGUGUGGUGGAAAGUUCUGGCGGUGAGGGAUGAGCUCGCGGCCUAUCAGCUUGUUGGUGGGUAAUGGCCUACC